GAUGAACGCUGGCGGCGUGCCUAAUACAUGCAAGUCGAGCGAACGGACGAGAAGCCUGCUUCUCUGAUGUUAGCGGCGGACGGGUGAGUAACACGUGGAUAACCUACCUAUAAGACUGGGAUAACUUCGGGAAACCGUAGCUAAUACCGGAUAAUAUUUUGAACCGCAUGGUUCAAAAGUGAAAGACGGUCUUGCUGUCACUUAUAGAUGGAUCCGCGCUGCAUUAGCUAGUCGGUAAGGUAACGGCUUACCAAGGCAACGAUGCAUAGCCGACCUGAGAGGGUGAUCGGCCACACUGGAACUGAGACACGGUCCAGACUCCUACGGGAGGCAGCAGUAGGGAAUCUUCCGCAAUGGGCGAAAGCCUGACGGAGCAACGCCGCGUGAGUGAUGAAGGUCUUCGGAUCGUAAAACUCUGUUAUUAGGGAAGAACAUAUGUGUAAGUAACUGUGCACAUCUUGACGGUACCUAAUCAGAAAGCCACGGCUAACUACGUG
rnacentral:rRNA from 1 species